rnacentral:lncRNA from 1 species
AAUGCCUGAAACUUGGAACAGAACCUCUCCAUUUCCAGAACCAGUGGGAAUCUGCUUAUAAGACCUUAAUUUUAUUUUGGACAACUAUGUGGAACAGUGAAUGGAAUUCUGGACCCAGAGUCAACAAAAUUCCUCUUUUGGAUCAUGGCCAGGUUUGAAGAGGAAAUUAAUCUCAUUUUUUGCAUAGUGUGGAGCAAAGACCAAGAGCUCUAUAUCCCAACCUGUGGAAACCUUGCCUC